UUGGUGCUUCUAUCAGAGCUACAUCCUUUGGGAACCGUUGAACUCAGCGAGAUCCAUAUUGAACACACGGCUCUUGUUUUGCUGGUGCAUGAGAAAAUGCAUUAUCAUAUUAGACUGAGUGAGGUGGGUGGAGUCCGCUUUGUCGACCGCUGAUGUCUGCCGGUGUAGUUGCGCACAUAAUGCUGCAUGACAGCUCUUCUGAGACACUGCGGUUCUGUUAGAUUUGUCUGUUCUGGAGGUGGGGCGAAAAGAAAGGCUGUGUUUUGUUAGUGGAGUUUGUUAACUCUUAAAUAGAGAAGACCUCCCCCUCUUUACGGCACACACUGAACCGUGUUUUUGGAUGAUGCAGUUCAAGCAGAAGGUCAUCUCUUUCACUGUAAAUGGAGAUUUGCUUUGGGGACUUAAAUAUAUUUAGGCCUACAUGAACAUUUCUUCAGACGAAGAGCAAUUUUAUAACAAAAAAAGAUCAAUAUCCAGUCUGAAGGUCUGACCGUCGAGGAUCAUAUCACCUCCUUACAGCUACUGGUUCAUCAUAUUUUGCUGUUAUUAUGUGAAGACCAACAUGGCUUUUGGAUUGAAAUGAAGUCAAACUUGUUUGUAUGAACUGAAGCAUCCCAUAAACUGUGCAAAUAAAUAUCUGUACUGUUGUUAUACAUUGGGAAUGUGCUUUGUUGUUGUCUCGAAUGUUAAUACAUGUUAAUUUAAUGAACACUUAAAUGCAUGAUACAUUGAGGACA